CAGGAGCAGAAGGUUCGGGAGGAUCCGGACUUAAACAUGUUUACUGAAGACAUUCUUAGUACUGAAAGUGGAAAGGACAAUUUGAAAACACCGAUUUCCCCUAAGGCUUCGCCCCCCGUGUAUGGCUGCAAGUGCAAACUAUGCGGCAAAAUGAUUGGAAGGUUGAGCACCUUGGGAAACCACGUAAUGAACCAACAUUACACAGCAAUAAGAGG